CAGCUCCCUUCUGACUCCACGGAAGACCUGUGUGAACGUCCCCUGCCCCAAACUUUCCAUCUGAGAACAAACACAGAUGUUUCAGGGUUAAAGUUCUAACACUAAAUCCUCCUUUACUGAAGUUCUUCAGGUCAUUUUUAGAUUUCACCCUGAAGUUCCAGCAGGUCCUGUUAAUGGAUAAAGGUUCCAGACUAAAGUUCUUACCAUCUGCAAGUCUUCUCUGUGGAUUUUAUGGAAGACCAUCUGAGUAUGUUUGAGGGGUGAUGGAGAGAAGGGAAGAUCUGAAACCUGAUCACUCCUGCAGAUUAACAGGUUUGUCUUUUCUACAGAAGAACACAGGGGGGUUUUAUG